AUCCAGACUUUGAUUAUGGCUCAGGAUGAACGCUAGCUACAGGCUUAACGCAUGCAAGUCGAGGGGCAGCAUGAUUGAAGCUUGCUUCAAUUGAUGGCGACCGGCGCACGGGUGAGUAACACGUAUCCAACCUUCCGUACACCCAGGGAUAGCCUUUCGAAAGAAAGAUUAAUACCUGAUGGUAUCUUAAGCACACAUGUAAUUAAGAUUAAAGAUUUAUCGGUGUACGAUGGGGAUGCGUUCCAUUAGGUAGUAGGCGGGGUAACGGCCCACCUAGCCUACGAUGGAUAGGGGUUCUGAGAGGAAGGUCCCCCACAUUGGAACUGAGACACGGUCCAAAUUCCUACGGGAGGCAGCAGUGAGGAAUAUUGGUCAAUGGACGAGAGUCUGAACCAGCCAAGUAGCGUGAAGGAUGAAGGUCCUACGGAUUGUAAACUUCUUUUAUAAGGGAAUAAAACCUCCCACGUGUGGGAGCUUGUAUGUACCUUAUGAAUAAGCAUCGGCUAACUCCGUGCCAGCAGCCGCGGUAAUACGGAGGAUGCGAGCGUUAUCCGGAUUUAUUGGGUUUAAAGGGAGCGCAGACGGGUCGUUAAGUCAGCUGUGAAAGUUUGGGGCUCAACCUUAAAAUUGCAGUUGAUACUGGCGUCCUUGAGUGCGGUUGAGGUGUGCGGAAUUCGUGGUGUAGCGGUGAAAUGCUUAGAUAUCACGAAGAACUCCGAUUGCGAAGGCAGCACACUAAGCCGUAACUGACGUUCAUGCUCGAAAGUGUGGGUAUCAAACAGGAUUAGAUACCCUGGUAGUCCACACGGUAAACGAUGGAUACUCGCUGUUGGCGAUAUACGGUCAGCGGCUUAGCGAAGGCGUUAAGUAUCCCACCUGGGGAGUACGCCGGCAACGGUGCAACUCAAAUGAAUUGACGGA
rnacentral:rRNA from 2 species